rnacentral:rRNA from 1 species
CAGCAGCCGCGGGAAAACGUAGGUGGCAAGCGUUGUCCGGAUUUAUUGGGCGUAAAGCGAGCGCAGGCGGUUUCUUAAGUCUGAUGUGAAAGCCCCCGGCUCAACCGGGGAGGGUCAUUGGAAACUGGGAGACUUGAGUGCAGAAGAGGAGAGUAGAAUUCCAUGUGUAGCGGUGAAAUGCGUAGAUAUAUGGAGGAACACCAGUGGCGAAGGCGGCUCUCUGGUCUGUAACUGACGCUGAGGCUCGAAAGCGUGGGGAGCAAACAGGAUUAGAUACCCCCGUAGUCCCUGUCUCUUAUAC